rnacentral:ncRNA from 1 species
GCGUCUCCGAAAAAAAAAAAAAAAAAAAAAACAUAUCAAUAAGCGGAGGAAAAGAAACUAACAAGGAUUCCCCUAGUAACGGCGAGUGAAGAGGGAAAAGCCCAAAUUUGUAAUCUGGCUCUUUCA